rnacentral:rRNA from 1 species
GGCCGCGGGAAUUCGAUUAGAGUUUGAUCCUGGCUCAGAACGAACGCUGGCGGCAGGCUUAACACAUGCAAGUCGAACGCAUCCUUCGGGGUGAGUGGCAGACGGGUGAGUAACGCGUGGGAACGUGCCCUUCAGUUUGGGAUAACCCAGGGAAACUUGGGCUAAUACCGGAUACGCCCUUUUUGGGGAAAGAUUUAUCGCUGAAGGAUCGGCCCGCGUCUGAUUAGCUAGUUGGUGAGGUAACGGCUCACCAAGGCGACGAUCAGUAGCCGGCCUGAGAGGGCGGUCGGCCACACUGACACUGACAUACGGGUCAGACUCCUACGGGAGGCAGCAGUCGGGAAUUUUGGGCAAUGGGCGAAAGCCUGACCCAGCAACGCCGCGUGAAGGAUGAAAUCCCUCGGGAUGUAAACUUCGCAAGAAUAGGAAGAAUAGACGAGUACUAAUACUGCUCGUGAUGACGGUACUAUUUGUAAGCUCCGGCUAACUCCGUGCCAGCAGCCGCGGUAAUACGGGGGGAGCAAGCGUUGUUCGGAUUUACUGGGGCGUAAGGGCGCGUAGGCGGCCAGCACAAGUCAGUUGUGAAACCUCCGGGCGUUUCUCGGAAAGGUCCCGUGAUACUGUUAGGGCUAUAGUGCCGACGGGGGCACUGGAAUUCGCGCUCGUACCCGCCAACUGCCUAGAUAGCGAAAGGGAGGCCGGCGGGGAAGGGCGGCUGCGGGUCCUGAGUGCGGGAGAGAUGCGGGGAGGGGCCGGGGGCCCGGCUGACGUGGGCCCGCGGGGAGUCGGGCCGCGGACCGGGCGCCCUCGGGCCGCGAGGGUCC